GGUAAGAUGGCCGAGUUGUAAGCGGUGGAUUGUAGCCCCAUGUACAGGGGUUCGAUUCCCCUUCUUAUCA
rnacentral:tRNA from 1 species